rnacentral:rRNA from 1 species
CCUACGGGAGGCAGCAGUAGGGAAUAUUGCUCAAUGGGGGAAAGCCUGAAGCAGCAACGCCGCGUGGAGGAUGAAGGUUUUAGGAGUGGAAACUCGUUUUGGUAGAGAAGAUUAUGACGGUAUCUAUCGAAUAAGCACCGGCUAACGCCGUGCCAGCAGCCGCGGUAAUACGGAGGGUGCAAGCGUUAUCCGGAAUAACUGGGCUUAAAGAGUGCGUAGGCGGGGUAAUAAGUCAGAGGUGAAAUCCUGUGGCUUAACUACAGAACUGCAUUUGAAACUGUUCGUCUGGAGUGUGGGUGAGGUAGGUGGAAUGCUUGGUGUAGCGGUAAAAUGCGUAGAGAUCAAGAGGAAUACUGAUUGCGAAGGCGACCUGCUGGAACAUUACUGACGCUGAUGCACGAAAGCGUGGGGAGCAAACAGGAUUAGAUACCCCUGUAGUC